GAAGCUAGGUGGGUGACUCUUUCCUCCCUCACUGCUUCAUGUGUAUCCCUCUAUAAGCUCCAUGCGGAAUGGAAGAGGAUGACCACCCCUGACAGUGGAGGAACAUUUCCUCAGUCAGAGGUUUAUGAGUAGCUGUGCUCCCUUGUUAGAACCUUUGAAAAAACUUUUGAGUAAGUCAUUGAUCAUACUGCAACUCUCAGGUAUCUUUCUCAGUCCUUUAUUUAAG
rnacentral:snRNA from 1 species